GAUGAACGCUGGCGGCGUGCCUAAUACAUGCAAGUCGAGCGAACAGACGAGGAGCUUGCUCCUCUGACGUUAGCGGCGGACGGGUGAGUAACACGUGGAUAACCUACCUAUAAGACUGGGAUACCUUCGGGAAACCGGAGCUAAUACCGGAUAAUAUAUUGAACCGCAUGGUUCAAUAGUGAAAGACGGUUUUGCUGUCACUUAUAGAUGGAUCCGCGCCGCAUUAGCUAGUUGGUAAGGUGACGGCUUACCAAGGCGGCGAUGCGUAGCCGACCUGAGAGGGUGAUCGCCUACAUGGGAACUGAGACACGGCCCAGACUCUGACGGGAGGCAGCAGUAGGGAAUCUUACGCAAGGGGCGAAAGCCUGACGGAGCAACGCCGCGGGAGUGAUGAAGGUGUUCGGAUCGGAAAGCGCUGUUAUUAGGGAAGAACAAAUGCGUAAGUAACUAGGCACGUCUUGACGGUACCUAAUCAGUAAGCCACGGCUAACUACGUG
rnacentral:rRNA from 1 species